GUACGUUGUCGUUGAGUGGUUCUGAAAUCGCUGCGGGUGACUGCUACCAGGCGCUGCGGCAAGUUACGGUGGGAGCUUCUGUCCGUGCUGUGUGAUUACAGAGACUACCAGAUGCAUACGAACGACUACCAGCGGGGAGUGACCUGUGCCAUAUUUCUCUUAACGUCUCAGGUAUACAAGAAAUGGCAACAGCCAGAAGUCGCCAUCUUAUCCAGCACGUUAUGGGUACACUCUGGCGGCUCCUACCCCUGCGUCCUACCACCACCCUGUCCUGACUACGUCCACUACGGAGUUGGGAGCCUUUGGCGGCUUCUGCCACUGCAUCCUGCCGCCACCAUGUCCCGACCACGUCCACUAGGGAGUUGGCAGCCUUAGUGAUGAUGCCAAGCAGGCUGACAACAGACAGAAAGAUUCAGCUUGCCUUGAAAUUUUACCCAAGCCAUGCCACAUACUCGGGCCAGGCCUCUUGGGAACUACGUAUAACCAGGCUCAGUGCAUCAGUGUCGAGUGAGUCCGGAGAUCAAGGAAACCUGCUGUGCAACCAGCACGCAACACUUGGUGGCCUCUACAUGUUCCAUCUAUUUCACAGCUGUACCUCAGUGUCCAUCUAUCCAAACAGCAUCACCAGCUGUUUCUUAUCUUAUCGAUCACUUAUCAAACCAUGGAUGAAUGGCGGAGUGAUUUGAACAGACAUUCUAUUUGUCUCUUCAAAUUCUCCGCAAAUACUUCUAUUAUUAUAAUCCAUGUUUCUUUAGUACCUAGUUUUUUAUAGUUCCUUUCUGUUAGAGUUCUCACCAUCAACUCCUGCUAUUAUAAUGUACACCUGUCUUUAUGCCUUGUUUCUCAUAGUUCUUUUGUGCUUGUAGAUGUAAUUGAUAGGUUCUUAAUUCUCGUUGUACAGAAGGCUAAAAUGCAAACUUACGAUAUUUUUUCUUCCUUUGAUAACCUACAGCACUGCAAUGUGUUCAAGAAAUUUAACAUAACACGGGCUCUGGUGCAGGAUAAAUUUAAGAGCAAUAUAGAGUACUUAGUUCAAGCACCUGUUAUUUUUGAAAAAAUCAAGGAUAUAAGAGCACAAGAAAGAAUAUUAAACUAGAGAAACAUGGGUUUCCCUCGUAAGUCUGGUAAUAAUGUGACUUUUUUUCACUGGAAAGAUACCAGUGGUACUCCCAUACAAGGUUUGAGACAUGAAAGCUAUGAUACCUUUGGCAUUUCUUAGUGCUUAUUUGCCGCACUGAUGAAUGUCAAAGGCAGCAUAGGUUUCAUGCACACAUUGGUCGUAUUACACCUUUUGAGUAUUGUAUUUCUCAAACACACAGGCUUACAGCACUGCUUUAAAUAGCAGAUGUAUUUCCUAAUUUUCAGAAUUUGUUAAUGCAAAAUUAAUGCUACAGAUCAUGUAUAAAUAAUUUUACAGACUAUGUCCAUGGAUGAAAGCUUCUUCUGAUGACGAAGCAGUGCCAUGUGAUUGGGGGAUGAAUGUCUUUAUUUCAGAUUGAAACAUUGGCUUCCAGGUCUGGGUUAGUCUCCUACACUGAGUGUUCUAGGUCAGAGCCCAUCUACUUGAGGAAAGUGAAUUAAACUAGGAAUUGUAAACACCAAAAGAUCUUGUUCGGGACGCUAAUGUGACAAUCAGCAAGGUUCAUUGGGCAUUCAUUUCCAAAUUUGUGAGAUAUUUUGACUGGUUUCGCUAGUGCGAGAACAAAUAUUUGUUUGUUCUCACACUAGAGUUGGCUGCCCCCAUUGGCACACAACCCUUCUACAGGCUAAAAAUUCAGUCUAUUACUAGGCUGUUUUUUGGUUUUGCGCACUCAGUGUUAAGGGAUCCAAACGGUGACAUACAACAGAAUGCAGAAAAAUGACUAAGAAAUACGAGCAGGGCGUGGGGCUUUUUAGGCAGAUGCGUGCAUGUGCUAUUUAUAAAACUCCCUAUGGUAUGCCUGAAGGCAUUUUCUAACCCUUUUGUAGAAACACUGACACCCACUUAUUAAGGGGAAAUGCUUCUCGAAACAACUUUUUUUAAUUAUUUGUACUAGAGGUUUGAAUAUCUGCCAUUCAUAGGGAGUUUUAUGUAGAUUUGAGUUGUCAUUGGUUUUUUUAUAGCUGGUGUUCUUUAGUUAUGUCCUACAUAGUGGCAAAUAUUUUUAUUUGUGUUGUAUAAAAGUUUGGCAAAUAGUUUCAUGCUGUAUCGUAUUUAGCUGGUUGUAUACCGCAAAGUGGCGAUACCUAUUCAAACAGCUUGUACAAUUACUGGAACUAUGCAAAAAAUAUUAGGCCACCUUAAAUAAUUUUAACAGAUUGCAAUUUCAAUUAGAUAUCGGUAUUCUGCAUAUCUUGAGUAUGUAUGCCAAAUUUCAUUUGUAUAGGACGAUUGUAAGUGCACAAGGUCAUUCUCAUGCCAAUCUGAGAAAAAAAUUAUUGAAGUAUUCUCAAUAGUUUUUUUCAGAGUACAUGAGAGGUAUGCAAGAUUAGUAGGCAGGCCUGCCUGCCUGCCUGCCUACUAAUCUUGCAUACCUCUCAUGUUCUCUGAAAAAAAUUAUUGAGAAUACUUGCCUGCCUGUUUACUAAUCUUGCAUACCUCUCAUGUACUCUGAAAAAAAAAAUUAUUGAGAAUACUUCAAUAGCUUUUGUGGUAUACAACUAGCUAAAUAAGAUACAGUCGCCGACCGUUUAUUCGGACCUCACGGGGACUGCGGAAAUGUCCGAAUAAACAGGUGUCCGAAAAAGCAGAUUAUGAAAAAAAAAAUGAAAUCCUUUAUUUCCACGCACUUAUUCGGGCUCGGCAGUAGGCUUGAAGAAAUCGCGAAUGCGCCGUUGCACGCUGUUCCGUUUACGCGCAAUCAGAUAAGCCUGAAUCUCGGAGAGGGUCGUACGGUCACUAUAGGCGGCUGAAAGCACAGUCACUGCUUGUACACGCUCCGCAUGCGACGGCAGCGUAGCACAUGGUGCGUCAACUUCCGACUCGGUCAUCGUCCGGCGGUGCAGCAGAAACCUGACGAAUGAUCUCGCCGUCGUCGAGUUUUGCGCAUGUCAGUACAACAGUGUCAGCACCUGUGAAACUGUCAAUGAGCCGGUGUCCGGAAUCGCAAUGCAACCACUGCGCAAGUCUCGGCAGAACAUUUUCCACGUCGGUAGGGAGCACAUCGGAAGGCGACAAAUCUUUUAGGCCUCCCGGCACCCGCUUGCCGGCAUUCCGCAGCGCAGUCUGCGCGGGCACUGUCGGCGCCAUUAGACACUUGAUGAGAUGUUUCCAUAUGCCGCGUUGGAUCACCGAAACCUCGACACAGCACACAAAGCAAACACCACCGUGCCGACACCAGUCACACAAGCGAAAAAACGCGGCAUGCUCGCAGCGUCGUGCGCGAAGAAACAAAUCAGCUGCUGGAUUGUCUUGACAUGGCUUACUAAGCUGAAACCGGAACUGCUGCAGAGCCACUCUAUCGAACAAGCGUAUCGAACCAGGCAGAAACGAUGAUGAUGAGCGGGGAUUUCCAGUAGCGCCACUUCGUGGGGCAGCAAGGAAGCUCCGUUCAAAACAAAAAUGGCGUUCAGCAAGUCGAACCAUACACCGGUCAGAGUCGGUGCAUGGUGCUCUCGACCGAGUUGGCUCAAGGAGUGUCUGAAAAAUCGGACGAGAGGUUGCAAGGUGUCCGAACUUUCGGCAGUUGUUAUACAUUAUGGUCUAUGGGGAGAAUGGCGGUGCCGCGAAGCUGACCGAAUAAUCGGGCAUGUCCGAAUUUUCGGAGUCCGGAAAAUCGGUCGGCGACUGUACAGCAUAAAACUAUUUGCCAAAUUUUAUACACAAGAAAGUGCACAUAAAAAUAUUUUGCCACUAUGUAGGACAUAACUAAAGAACACCAGCUAUACAAAAACCAAUGACAAUUCAAAUCUACAUAAAACUCCCAUGAAUGGCAGUAUAUUCAAGCCUCCAGUACAAAAAAUUUUUUCAAAAGUUGUGUCGAGAAGCAAUUCCCCUUAAUAAAUGGGUGUCAGUGUUUCUACAAAAGGGUUAGAAAAUGCCUUCAGGCAUACCGUAGGGAGUUUCAUAACUAGCACAUGAACACAUCUGCCUAAAAAGCCCCACGCCCUGCUUGUAUUCCUUAGUCAUUUUUCUGCAUUCUGUUAUAUGUCACCAUUUGGACCCCUUAACACUGAGUGCACAAAACCAAAAAACAGCCUAUUAAUACACUGAAUUUUUAGCCUGUAAAGGGGCUGUGUGCCAAUGGGGCUGCCAACUCUAGUGUGAGAACAAACAAUAUUUGUUCACACAUUAGUGAAACCAGUCAAAAUAUAAUCUCACAAAUUUGGAAAUAAAUGCACAAGGAACCUUGCUGAUUAUCACAUUAGUGUCCCGAACAAGAUCUUUUGGUGUUUACAAUUCCUAGUUUAAUUCCUUUUCCUCUAGUAAAUGGGCUCUGACCUAGAAUACUCAGUGUAGGAGACUAACCCAGACCUGGAAGCCAAUGUUUAAAUCUUGCAUACUUCUAGUAACUUUACAUGCUGUUUGAAUAGAUAUCGGCACCUUGCAGUCUACAGGGAGCUGAGUUAGCUGCAGCACACUGCUUUUUGUGAAAAUGUAAUACACAAGUGCCCGCAAAUAUCACUAUGUAUUUGCCGUUGUAUAGGACAUAACUCAAGAAGUAGCUAAACAAAAACUAAUGGAAUAUAUGAGAUCUGCAUGAAGAACUCUACAAUUGGCUCUCUUUUUAAACCUCUAGUACAAAUAAUAAAAAUAUUUCGAGUAUUAUUCAAUCAAAACGUUCCCCUUGCUCCAGUGACCUACAACAUAGCGACGCAAAGUUUAAGGCAAGUCCUCUUGAAGCGAAUCUGGGCUGUCUUCCCAAGGGCUUCUGUUAAAGACGGGGAUUUUUCCUGCAUUUGCCUAAACUACUAAAAUACUAAAAAAAUACUACAAUACUAAAAUGCCAUACUAAAAUCUUUGUGAAUGUGCAAUUGGUAUUGGCACACCAACAGAAAAAGAGAACAGUUCUGUGAAAUGCAGGAUUGACUAUAACUUUGUUCGACAUUUACAUUUUGACUCCAUAUCUUUGUUUUGUGUUUUGUAAUGAGUGUUUCACCGGUGACUGCCGCUAAACAUUGAACAUAACUGCUUCAUGACAGUGCGACAAUUUUCACUAACAGAAAAUUAUAGCAGUGGCAGGCAUUAGAAAUACAGUACUUGAUAACGUCUACUUUGUAAGAACUUAGACUAGCACCAGUUCUGAGAUACACAUACCCAAAAAGUAAUGAUCAAAUAGAUUUCUCUUCCACACAAAAUUGUCCCACAAGGCUUACAGAAGGCUUUUUGGCAAAGUAAUAUCUGAAAGAGCAAAGCAUGUUCCACCAAAGAUGGUGACAAAUAUUUCAGAGCUGCCAGUCUGAGGACUCCUACAAACUGACAACACCUUCAGCACUGACUAGCUUCAAUAAUGGGGUGUCAGCAUUUUGCUGAAAUUAAUGAAACUUCAAUUAUUGUGAUCUUGUUUAAGAAGACAUUUGAAAUUAACAUGCAGUUCUAAUCUCUGUCACUAUUGUAAAUAUUUCCCAAUUAUUUUUUCAGGCUACAAUUUUUAGUAAUAAUGGUAUUCAUUGCAGAAAGAGCUAGUACUUGGCAUUUAAUAAAGGAGGUACUGGUCAUUGUAGAUUUUCUGUCUUCAGCAUUUGUUCUGUUCCACAGCUGUUUCUUGAAAUCUGAAAUGAUGUACCCAUCUCUUUGUUAGCGAUAAACAGGGAAAUCUGUCAGUAGUUUUGCUUAAAAUGGAGCUGAUCAACCCAAUAGUUAGGCUAUUUGCUAAUUAUAAGUUGCAACAAUAAUAGUACAGGACCAUAAAAACAGAUUGAUGCUGAAUAACAGCUGUGCCCAGCUACAUCCACACAGCUGUGCCACACAAUGUGCAUGUGUUCAGAAGAGCCAAAUGCCCCAGAGAGAAAGCAAGAGUAACUUACUCUUUGUCAUCUUGUACAAGCAGAUCAUGCGCCAGAUGUAAUUUAUGCUCAGUAAAUACAUAAGUGAGUCAUGUGAGGUGUCUCACUUCAGGUUGCAGGUUCGAACUUCUUGUACUCUUGCUUGUUUUUAUUUAGUUUCCUUUGUGAGCAUAAAUGACACUGUAAAAACCCGCAUAUAGUACGAGGUUUUUUUCCUGUUUUUAGCGUCCCGAAUUUCUGCCUCGUACUAUAUGCGGAUCCGGACAGAAAUUUCAAAGUUCGACUAGAAGUUUUGGUUUCGUUAUAGCUCUGUGGCUACGGCUUGGCUUCGUGAUAUCUGCAUGGCUACAACUUGGCUUUGUUAUUGCUGCCUGGCUACGGCUUGCCUUCGCUAUUGCAGCGUGGCUACGGCAUCGUUUCUUUGUUGAGUGCGGACCUUGGCAGUUUGUGUUAACCAUGCUUCGCGAAGUGCAUCGUUCUUAGUGAAGGAGCACGAUGUCGGGGGCACGGAAGCAGUACUCGGCAGCUUUCAAGCGAAAUGUGAUUUUAGCGGCAGAGGAAAUCGGCAACAGUGCGGCCGGGAGGCAGUUUGGCAUCACCGAGGGAAGCAUCCGCAGAUGGCGAUGGCAAAAAGAAGCACUUUUCGAGUGCAGCGGAACGCGAAGAAGCUUUCGCGGCUCGAAGAAUCGGACAUUACCGGAAAUUGAACUCAAACUGACGGAAUUCGUCCGAGAACAGCGAGCCGCGCAUCUUGCAGUGAGCGUGGAGCUCAUGCAGGCAAAAGCUAGGGAGCUUGCGAUAGAAAAAGGCCUAACGAGCUCCACCUUCAAAGCAAGCAAGCAUUGGAUUUAUCGGUAUAUGUGCCGUGCAGGAUUUUCAUUGCGCCGGAGAACUUCAAUUUCGCAAAAGCUGCCGGAAUCGUUUGAAGAGUUACUGGUGGCUUUCCAGCGCCACGUUAUUUCAUUGCGCAAGUUCAAGAACUUUCAGCUAGGGCAAAUCGGCAAUGCUGACCAAACACCAGUUUAUCUGGACAUGCCAUCGCCCCUCACCUUGCACGAAAAGGGCUCGAAACAAGUUUGUGACCGGUCCACUGGGAACGAGAAGACGCGUGUUACCGUCAUGUGGUCAUGCACGGCAGAUGGCCGCAAGCUCCCGCCCUAUGUCGUCUUCAAGCGCAAGACAAUGCCGAAAGGUGAGCUGCCGAAAAAUGUCAUCGUUAAAUGCCAUGAGAAAGGGUGGAUGAAUGAGAGCCUUGUGCUCGACUGGAUAAAGUCCGUUUGGUGUAGGUGGCCCGGUGCACUGUUAUCGUUCCCAUCCAUCCUCGUGCCGGACGCGUUUCGUGGCCAUUUGGCCGACUCGGUGAAGAAGCUGUUGCGUGAUUGUAAUACUGAACUCCCGGGUGGGAUGACGUCUCAGCUGCAGCCUCUAGAUGUUUGCGUCAACAAGCCUUUCAAGGACGCGGUGAAGCGGUGCUACGCAGAGUGGAUGCGGUCAGGUGAACCUGCAGUGACGCCGACUGGGCGGCUGAAGCAGGCAUCGCCAGCCACGCUGUGCAAGUGGAUCGUGGACGCAUGGGCGAGCAUCCCAGAAGACCUAGUGCGUCGCGCUUUCAAGAAGUGCGGGAUCUCGAACGCGCUCGAUGGCACCGAGGACGAGUACCUCUGGGAGGAUAUGUCAGACAAGGAAUUGUCCGAUGAAAGUGCAGCGGAGGACGACAGUGAAUGAAGUGCUGAGUCCGAUUUAAAUAAAUGUUUUCCCCGAGUUUCUCUCACUCGUAUUAGACGCGGUAAAACUUUUUUUUUCCAUUUCUCGUCCCAUAAAUUUCACCUCGUAUUAUAUUCGGGUUCGUAUUAUACGCGGGUUUUUACAGUAGUUGUCUUGGCACAUAUUGUCAAAACGGUUUCUUCAUCACUGGCAAUCGCAAAAUUUCAAUUACACAUAAUAUUCCCAGUUACUGAUAUGGUAGACUUCGAGCUUAAUUCUCUUAUCUUUCAAAUGUUUAUCUACCAAAUAGUUUUAUCAUUCAUUGAAACAUAUCCAUGCAAUGCACAGUGGGAACCCAAAUUAUAAAUAUCUGUUCUUGCUUUCUACCCUGUUCUACAACAUAAUGAAGAUACAAAGCAAAACUAUAAGUUUGCAAUUGUCCCCCAUAACCAGAGUUUCGCUUAGAAUUUGAAAAACUAUAUUGACAUCCUGGUAUGGUGUGAGAGUUGCUUUGGGCACCAAGUGAACUGCGUAGCACCUGUGCUAGAGUACACAACAAAGCAGAAAAUCGCACCAGAUUGGAAUGGCAGUGGUAAGUUAAGAAAAGAUGUUUUAUUUCACGCACCAUUAAUGUGGCUUAUCAUCUGCUUCUGUUUUCUUUUGUGGGAACGCAUACAUUGGGAAGACAAUUUUUCGCACCAAUCUUACCUUAGCAGGACACCAGAGAAAGGUAGAAAUCAAGAACAGGUAUUCACACUUUGUUGCCCACAGUGUAUUAUCUGGGUGUGUUUCACUCUACGAAAGACUACUGUGGUAGAUAAUCAUAAAGACAAAAGAAUUAAGAGGUAUGUGUCAGUCAUCCUUCCAUGACCUCCAGUGCUUGUAGAAACACUUCUUUCUGUAUAUGUGCCAAGAUGUAGGGAGGCUUUACGUAACUCAGUCAUGCUUUCCAAGUUAAAAAUCGGAAUAAGGACAAUGGCAAGAACAUCGUACGAGUGAUUUGUAAAUGUGGUACCUAAUGUAACUUAUUUAUGUAUGUGCUGAGGGUAUAUUACAGCCAGUGCAUAAUCUGCUCUUACAGGAUAACUUGUGAUGAGUAAAAGAAGCCUUCCUCACAUCUUCCUCUUUGUUUCCUUAAGAUCUUGGUGCACCAUGUGUAUUGUUACAGCUGCAUGAUGCAGCUGGGUAUAUAGUUUGUUUAUGUGUUCUGCUUCCUCCCUUGUCCUCAUUAUUCAUGUGCUAUCUUUGCCGUAACAAAGUACAGCUACCUGUGCUACAUAUUUUGUCAGCGUGUUUGCAUUAUGGCAAGUUUUGUAUUAGUGGUUAUUGCAAUGUGUGAAAUUGUCUCAAUCUGUGAAAUUGUCUGGGUCAGCUAUUAUACUUCGUCUUGGAAAAGUGUGUUUGUCAACAUAAAUAAACAAUUAGUAUAAAUGUUGCUGUAUUUAUUUUUGUAAUAUCUGUUGUGAAGCUUUCAUACACUGUUGCAUGUUGUAUGACAGAAUAAAAUUGAUGCACAACUUU